CUUGGCUGAAACAACGCGAUUCACAUGGAUUACUUCGGCGAUGUUUUUAGUGUUGUUGCGAUUAACUUUUUGAAAUGUGAGCAGUUUUUAGUUCAAGUAUCAAGUGGAUCUGACAUCGAGGGGAAAUAUAACGUUACGUUUCUUGGAUUUCAUUAAAGUACCUCGGUUUUUGUUUGAAGAUGAAUGAGAGAACAUGAGGCACAGCGGCAUUCAAAUUGACCAAUCAGAGCCGAGAAUUUCUAAUACGUCAAAGUAGAGAUGAACAGAUGAAGAUACGGCCCAUAAAAAUACUUAUUCUUGGUGAGUGCCAUAUAGUGACGGAUCAAACGGACACUCAUGUCAAGCUUGAUGAGGACACAGUCAAAGCUUUAAAAGAACUUGUGAUUAAGUCUUCAGUGUCUGAAUGGCAAGAAGAAGUGACCCUCCACUUAAACGUGACAUUUAAACUGCUCUGUGUUUUGGUUCAGCCAUUUGCAGGUUUAUCUCGAGUUAGUUCAAAUGCACUUCUGCAUUUUUCCCAGUAACUUUUUGUUUAGAUAAUUACAUACAUUAUUAUGAUUAUAUGAAUAUUCAAUGGUUGCAUAUUCAUAGUGUACUUUUCAUAUUGAUGUAUAAAUGUUCCACAAUUUGAUAAAAGUAGCUCAUUGCAUUUCACUGAUCUUUGUUUUAUAUUGUAAAAUCAUUUCAAUAGCAGUAAAUACAUACUUAGUUGUUUCUUUAACAUUUAA